CUGGGCCAGGGCCAGAGGGCACGUCCAAAGGGAAAUUCCCUCGCAGAAAGGGGGCUGUUUAAGGGUGGGUAGGGGGUGUUCCGCAGUACCAGUGGGCGUGACGUUUCCAGAGCCAAAACCAGAGUUUUGGGACAAAGUUCCCCAAGGCUUAACGCCGCUGCAGGGAGGGAACUGGAUGGAAUCCUGUGCAUGAGGCAGAGGCUCCGGGAGCAGCCACUCAGGGUACCAGAAGCCCAUGUCAACGGGAUCGAACACUAAGCCUGGAACUUUACGGCCAGAAGUGCACCGAGGAACUACGGCAGGAGUGGGCUCUGCUAGCGAGGGCGCCCACUGCCCAGGCGGGUGCAGCCUACCGCGCUCACUGCAGAGUGGAGGUGGGGGAGAGGCCCAGCCCGGGCGAUGCCUACGGAGAAAGCCCGGGAGGCAUCACCCUGCUCAGGGGGUUGGAGCGAGACAGGAACUAGGCCAGUGAGAGCUGACUCAGUCUCGCUCGUCUCUUUUUGGUCCCAGCCGACCAGAGGCCUGGUGUCUUGGGCUCCUGCCCACCUCCGCCUGCUCCAGACCCCUCCUCCCCUCCUGCUGAGGCCGUUUCCUGUGGCUGCGACUCUUGUUCAGCCAUGAGCUCACCGCCCCUAAUGGGUUGCAGCUGCUUUGCUGCUUAAGCUGGAGCGCCCCGGAUCCUAACUUCAGAGCCGAGGCCCACUCAACCUCACCCCUACCCUUUUUCCCACCCACGUACACAGUCCCGGCAACACUGAGGGUCUGUCUGCUCGCCCACACCUUGGGGCCGAGUCUGUGCGCUGAUAACACGGAAUGCUGGUCUCUGGGGUGACUGAAUACCCUAAUCUUCUCAAACAGCCAGGAUUAAGCAACUCUGGCUGGAGAGAUUUAGAAGUAAAAUAAGCAAUUUUUGUUCUGCGGUGAAACCAGGGCUGUUUGCAAUGGGCAGAGAGCUCGGUAAAUAUCGCAGAGUGCCCCAUUCCUCAUUUACAACGAAGACGUCUGAUCAAAGGAACUUAAAAAAAAAAAAGCCAUCUGAAAGACUUGCAAAGAAAUAGACCUAAGGGAUUUUGUUUAGGGAAUGAGAUGAAGAAAGAUAGCCCGAUGACUCACUUAGGGAAGUGGGUCAGAAUUGGACAUGGCUUAGUCUUUGAGACAGUGGGUCCAGGUAAAAUUCGACUGGAAUGCAUAGCAUCAAAACCUCCUCCUCUCUUCUCCAAGAGUUCAUUUAUGUCUCUAUCUUCUUUCAAAUGGCUCCAACCAAUUCGUGAUAGCCAAUCCGGCAGGCUUUAUGAAUGGAAGAAAGGGAUGCUACCAAGACCUGAGUUGGCCACAGUUUUGUCUCCUUUCUUCCCACCUGUCACUCAGCCAUCUCUUGGAUGCAGUGUUUUGUGGGUGGGCACACCUCCACUUAUGAUAAAGUUACCUGGAUGGAGCCUGAGCCGGUGGAGGACUGUGUACAGAGCACACUCGCUGCCUUGUAUCCACCCUUUGAAGCCACAGCCCCAACCCUAUUGGGCCAAGUGUUCCAGGUGGUGGAGAGGACUUACCAGGAGGAUGCGCUGAGGUACACGCUGGACUUCCUGGUACCUGCUAAACACCUGCUUGCCAAGGUCCAGCAGGAAGCCUGUGCCCAGUACAGUGGAUUUCUCUUCUUCCAUGAGGGCUGGCCACUCUGCUUGCAUGAACAGGUCGUAGUGCAGCUAGCAGCCCUCCCCUGGCAGCUGCUGCGCCCUGGCGACUUCUACCUGCAGGUCGUACCCUCGGCAGCCCAAGCUCCCCGCCUGGCACUGAAAUGUCUGGCCCCAGGAGGUGGACGGGUCCAGGAGCUGCCAGUGCCCAAUGAAGCCUGUGCCUACCUAUUCACACCUGAGUGGCUGCAAGGCAUUAACAAGGACCGGCCAACGGGGCGCCUCAGCACCUGUCUUCUGUCGGCACCCUCUGGGAUUCAGCGCCUGCCCUGGGCUGAGCUCAUCUGCCCGCGAUUUGUGCACAAAGAGGGUCUCAUGGUUGGCCACCAGCCAAGCACACUGCCUCCAGAACUGCCCUCUGGACCUCCAAGGCUUCCUAGCUCUCCACUCCCUGAGGAGGUGCUGGGGACCCGGAGUCCUGGGGAUGGACACAACGCUCCUGCAGAAGGCCCAGAGGGUGAAUAUGUGGAACUGUUGGAGGUGACGCUGCCUCAUAUGAGGGGAAGCCCCACAGACGCUGAGGCCUCAGGCCUCUCCAGGACCCGCACAGUACCCACCCGGAAGAGUACCGGAGGGAAGGGCCGGCACCGGAGACACCGGGCAUGGAUGCACCAGAAAGGCCUGGGGUCUCGGGACCAGGAUGGGGCACGCCCACCUGGUGAAGGGAGUAGUACUGGGGCCUCUUCUGACUCACCCCCGGGAGCUGAGGCUGACCCAGAUGCAGCGGUCCUGGAGGCAUCUGAGCCCCCAGCAGAGGCUCUGGGGGAGGCCGCUGAAUCCUGCCUCCCCUCGGGGGAGACUGGGGGAGGAAUGGGCCAAGGGGUUGAAGGACCACCUGGUACCCCGCGAAGAGCAGGCAAAGGAAACAGAAGGAAGAAGCGAGCUGCUGGCAGAGGUGCUGUAAAAGGGGAGAGUACCCCGCUCAGCCCCAAGGACAAGGAAGAGACUAGGCAGCAGGAAGUCCUUGUCAGUCUGCCCUCCUCACUCAGUGAACAGGAACCUGCAGAAUGCAGCCUGGUUAAGGAGAAAGAGGAUUCUGGGAAGCCAGCGUCUGAAUCAAAAGAGGAACUCAAGCCCGCAGAUGGAAAAGAGCCUGCACCCCCAGAAGACUGUGGGCCCCCAGAAGAGGGCAUCAGAGAGAGUGAACAAGAGGUGCUGGUACCGGUGUGUGUGACAGGAUCCACAGGUCCAGGGUGCUUCCCAUCCGAGCCCCCAACACAGCCCCUGGAGACUGUGCCGGAUGUAAAAGGAGACAGCAUCCCAGAAGAGACUCCCUCAGUUUCCAUCUUGGAUGACCCACCUGUAGCUUGGGACUUGAUGGCAUCUGGAUUCUUCGUUCUGACUGGAGGGGUCGACCAGACUGGGAGAGCUUUGCUGACUAUCACGCCCCCGCCCCCGUGCCUUCUUGAGGAGCCCUCACCCUCCCAGGAGACAUUGAACACUGCCCUUCGUUACCUCCACUCACUGCUUAGGCCUGACCUGCAGUUCCUGGGGCUAACAGUCCUGCUUGACCUUCGCAAGGCACCCCCGCUGCCUCCAGCACUUAUUCCAGCCUUAAGUCAGCUUCAGGACUCAGGCAACCCUCCGCUCGUUCAGCGGCUGGUGAUUCUCACCCAUGAAGACCCUCCAGCUGAGCUCUGUGGACUUCAGGGAGCUGAGUUGCUGUCAGCGAAGGACCUGAAAAGGGUGGCCAGGCCAGAGGAGCUGCAGUCGGACUUAGGGGGUCACAGGGACCUCUCCCCCGACCACUGGGUAGAGAUACACCAGGAAGUGGCAAAGCUGUGCAGCUUGUGCCGAGGUGUGUUGACCUCUGUACGGCAGGCUAUUGAGGAGCUCGAGGGAGCAGAAGAACCAAAGGAAGAGGAGGCAGUGGGAAUGCCUGAGCCCCUGCAAAAGGUGCUGGCAGAUCCUCGGCUGACGGCGCUGCAGAGGACCGGAGGAGCCAUCCUGAUGCGGCUGCGCUCCACCCAUAGCAGCAAGCUUGAGGGUCCAGGCCCAGCUGUGCUCUACCAGGAGGUAGAUGAGGCCAUUCACCAACUUGUGCGUCUCUCCAACUUACGAGUGCAGCAGCAGGAAAAACACCAACGCCUGCGCCAGCUCCAGCAGGUGUUACAGUGGCUCUCUGGCCCAGGGGAAGAGCAGCUGGCCAGCUUCGCCACGCCUGGAAACUCACUCUCAGUCCUGCAAGAGACAGAACUGCGAUUCCGGGCUUUCAGCACCGAGGUGCAGGAGCGCCUCGUCCAGGCCCGGGAAGCUUUGGCUCUGGAGGAGGACAUGGCCUCCCAGAAAGUUCUGGAUAUCUUCGAACAACGACUGGAGCAGGUUGAGAGCGGCCUCCACCGGGCUCUGCGGCUACAGCGCUUCUUCCAGCAGGCACACGAAUGGGUAGAUGAGGGCUCUGCUCGGCUGGCAGGAGCCGGGCCGGGUCGUGAAGCUGUGCUGGCAGCCCUAGCCCUGCGGCGGGCCCCGGAGCCCAGUGCAGGCACCUUCCAGGAGAUGCGAGCCUUGGCCCUGGACCUGGGCAGCCCAGCAGUCCUUCGAGAAUGGGGCCGAUGCCGGGCACGCUGCCAAGAGCUGGAGCGGAGGAUUCAGCAGCAGCUGGGAGAGGAGGCCAGUCCUCGAGGCCACAGACGAAGACGGGCGGACAGUGCCAGCAGCACGGGCCCCCAGCAUGGAGCCCAUAGCCCUUCACCCAGCCUCAGCUCCCUGCUUCUUCCCAGCAGCCCUGGGCCCCGGGCAGCCCCAUCACAUUGCUCUCUGACCCCGUGUGGGGAGGACUAUGAGGAGGAAGGCCUUGAGCUAGCUCCAGAAGCAGAUGGAAGACCCCCAAGGGCUGUGUUGAUCCGAGGCCUGGAGGUCACCAGUACUGAAGUGGUAGACAGGACGUGUUCGCCCCGAGAACAUGUGCUGUUGGGUCGGGCUGGAGGGCCAGACGGGCCCUGGGGACUGGGUACCCCGCGAAUGGAGCGCAAACGGAGCAUCAGUGCCCAGCAGCGUCUAGUGUCUGAAUUGAUUGCCUGUGAGCAAGAAUACAUAGCCACUCUGAAUGAGCCAGUGCCGCCCCCCGGGCCGGAGCUGACGCCUGAGCUCCGAUGCACCUGGGCCGCAGCCCUGAGUGUCCGAGAGAGACUCCGCAGCUUCCACGGGACGCACUUUCUACAAGAGCUGCAGGGCUGCACCACCCAUCCCCUGCGCAUUGGGGCCUGCUUCCUUCGCCAUGGGGACCAGUUCAACCUCUACGCACAGUUCGUGAAGCACAGACACAAACUGGAGAGUGGUCUGGCUGCAGUCACCCCCUCAGCCAAGGGUUCCAUGGACAGCAGCCCCUGCUUACCCCGGGCCCUGCAACAGCCCCUGGAGCAGCUGGCUCGGUAUGGACAACUCCUGGAGGAGCUCCUGAGGGAAGCUGGGCCUGAGCUGAGCUCCGAGCGCCAGGCCCUCAGGGCUGCUGUACAACUGCUCCAGGAACAAGAGGCCCGAGGCAGAGACCUGCUAGCGGUGGAGGCUGUGCGAGGCUGCGAGAUAGAUCUGAAGGAACAGGGACAGCUCUUGCAUCGGGACCCAUUCACUGUCAUCUGUGGCCGGAAAAAGUGCCUCCGCCAUGUCUUUCUCUUUGAGGACCUGCUCUUGUUCAGCAAGUUCAAGGGCUCCGAGGGAGGAUCUGAGACCUUCGUUUACAAGCAGGCUUUCAAGACUGCUGACAUGGGGCUGACCGAAAACAUUGGGGACAGUGGACUCUGUUUUGAAUUAUGGUUUCGGCGGCGGCGGGCACGAGAAGCAUACACUUUGCAGGCUACCUCACCAGAGACCAAACUCAAGUGGACAAGCUCUAUCGCCCAGCUGCUGUGGAGACAGGCGGCCCACAACAAGGAGCUCCGCGUGCAGCAGAUGGUCUCCAUGGGCAUUGGGAACAAACCUUUCCUGGACAUCAAAGCCCUCGGGGAACGGACACUGAGUGCCCUGCUCACUGGAAGAGCCGCCCGCACCCGGGCCUCCGUAGCCGUAUCUUCCUUUGAGCAUGCUGGCCCGUCCCUUCCCGGCCUCUCACCGGGAGCCUGCUCCCUGCCUGCCCGCGUCGAGGAGGAGGCCUGGGAUCUGGACGUCAAGCAGAUUUCCCUGGCUUCCCCUCCAGCCUCAGAAACACUUGACUCUUCUGGAGAUGUGUCCCCAGGACCAAGAAACAGCCCCAGCCUGCAUCCCCCGCAUCGUGGGAGCAGCACUCCCACACUGGCCAGUGGAGGGAUCUUAGGGUUGUCCCGGCAGGCCUGGCUGAGAAGCAUCAAGGUCAGAGGUAAAAAAAAGCCUUAAGAGACAUACACAAUAGAGAGCAUGUCUAAACACCCUGCAAUUUCUGUGUCCUCAGAGUCAUUCCCGAGCCCUGAGUGACCCCACCACACCUCUGUGACCUGGUGCAUGGGAGUCAGCUUCUUGCCUCUCCCAACCCAUCUCCCUCUUCUCUCCUGGCUUCCAGAGAAGAUCCAGAACUUGGCUGCAGCCCCUUUUCCGCACAUUUUAGGCUGAUAUGCCAAUGGGACAUGAUGGAGGACUAAGCUCUCAAUUCCCUCUCUGCUUCCUGGACAGAGAGAAGGGCGAGGACCAGAGCGUCCCCUCUCACUGCUGUCUCUAGCUCUUCCCUGCUUGGUGCCUUCUGCUGCAGGAACCGGAGUGGCCCUGUUUGCUUGCCUUUGUGCCCUGGGGGCAGGGAAACAUCCCCCUUCCAGUGUCCCCUCAUCCUGUGCUACUGCACAGCCGCAGGCCACUGCUCUGCUUUUCUUCUCACCCCCCCCUCCCCGGCCCCCCCCCCCCCCCCCCCCCCGCCCCCCCGACUCUCCCGGAAGAUUCAUCUCUGCCAGGUGGAAUGGAAUUCCAUUCUGGGGUAUCAUGGGAAAUGAAGUGUUACAAGCCAUUGAAGGAGAUGGGGUGGGCAUUGCAGACUUUAUAUAUGUAAUUACUGUUAUUACACUGUUGUUAUAUUAAAUGUAUUUGCUCUCA